GAGGAUUGAAGACUGGCUGAAGAUGGGGAACAUGCAAGGAAACGCUUCGUCGUCUGGACCGAAGAAGCCAUUUGGUAAUGACCAGCACAAGGAUGAGGGUGAAUCGAGUGCUGUGUACGCCCAGAGAGGACACGGUAGGGGUCGUUACUACCAGCACACCGCUGCGGUAACUAUUCCUGCUGACAAUCAGCCUGCACAACAGCAACAGCA
rnacentral:lncRNA from 1 species